rnacentral:rRNA from 1 species
AUUGAACGCUGGCGGCAGGCCUAACACAUGCAAGUCGAGCGGGGUUUUCGGACCUAGCGGCGGACGGGUGAGUAAUGCGUAGGAAGCUACCCGAUAGAGGGGGAUACCAGUUGGAAACGACUGUUAAUACCGCAUAAUGUCUACGGACCAAAGUGUGGGACCUUCGGGCCACAUGCUAUCGGAUGCGCCUACGUGGGAUUAGCUAGUUGGUGAGGUAAUGGCUCACCAAGGCGACGAUCCCUAGCUGGUUUGAGAGGAUGAUCAGCCACACUGGAACUGAGACACGGUCCAGACUCCUACGGGAGGCAGCAGUGGGGAAUAUUGGACAAUGGGCGCAAGCCUGAUCCAGCCAUGCCGCGUGUGUGAAGAAGGCCUUCGGGUUGUAAAGCACUUUCAGUAGGGAGGAAGCGUUGUGUGUUAAUAGUACACAGCGUUGACGUUACCUACAGAAGAAGCACCGGCUAACUCUGUGCCAGCCGCCGCAGUAA